rnacentral:rRNA from 1 species
GACGAACGCUGGCGGCGUGCCUAAUACAUGCAAGUUGAGCGCUGAAGGCUGGUACUUGUACCAACUGGAUGAGCAGCGAACGGGUGAGUAACGCGUGGGGAAUCUGCCUUUGAGCGGGGGACAACAUUUGGAAACGAAUGCUAAUACCGCAUAAAAACUUUAAACACAAGUUUUAAGUUUGAAAGAUGCAAUUGCAUCACUCAAAGAUGAUCCCGCGUUGUAUUAGCUAGUUGGUGAGGUAAAGGCUCACCAAGGCGAUGAUACAUAGCCGACCUGAGAGGGUGAUCGGCCACAUUGGGACUGAGACACGGCCCAAACUCCUACGGGAGGCAGCAGUAGGGAAUCGUCGGCAAUGGACGAAAGUCUGACCGAGCAACGCCGCGUGAGUGAAGAAGGUUUUCGGAUCGUAAAACUCUGUUGGUAGAGAAGAACGUUGGUGAGAGUGGAAAGCGCAUCAAGGGACGGUAACGACCCAGAAAGGGACGGCUAACUACGU